AUGCUUGGGCCCACAGAACUCUGGACAGAGGGCUGCGUUGUCGGGCAUUGGAUGGAGCGCCCUUCUGGAAGCCGGUGGCCGGGUCUGAUGCAAGCGUGCCAGGAAGUCCUGGGCCUGAAGAAAUGAAUAUAUCCCAGUUCCUGCCCUCAAGGACUCCUUGGUGAAGGAGACAGACACACAGACCUGCCAUGAGAACCCAGGAUUGGGAGUCUCUGUGAGCAGCAUGACACCAUCAUCAUCAUCUUCAUCAUCCACAUCAACUCCUGUUCAUCAGACACCAAUGAGGACUUUCCGUUCAUUAUCUCUCAACAGUCCUGCCAGGUAGAGACUCCUAUUAUCCCCAUUUUAAAAUAAAAACACGG